CAAGAAUUAAUACAUACAUGACACUCAGAAUGGCAUCCAAAAAAAGAAGUGGCAUUCUCUUUCUUGUGAGCUGUCACAGUGCGGUAAGCCUCCCUGGCUCUGUAAUCCUAAUUAAUGUUCGUUGUCUUCACUGCGUUUGGUGUGAAAAAUGUGGAGCGGGAACACUCUUGAGUGGGAGUCAGGCUCUCAAGAGGCUGCCGUUUCAGAAGGUGGACGUCAUGUUUCAGACCUCCAACCAUCUAUGCUGUCAACAGUCAUGACGAACAGAAGGCACUGAGACUCCCAGGACCAACUAUCAACCAUCAUCUUCGUUGCCUUUGUGACAGCUGCUCUGAGGGGGAAGAAAGUGCACUUCCUAGAGAGAGAUGACCUUUGCAAAGCGGAGCUAUUUGUAAAGACUUCUGUUUCUCCGGGGGAUUUUUUUUCUCACUCAGAAGGAUCAACCACAAAGUAGGUGGUCCAUGCUCUACUGAGCCCUGGGGCUGGCCUUUGGCAAAACUGAAUAACUGGCAAAAUCAGACUUUGCUGCAACCUCCCACACACCCACACUUGGCCCAGGCAGAUACUAAACACCUUGAACCCUAGUCUGACCAAUGUCUAGAAACCCUCCUGGCGAGUGUCCUGUGCCCUAGACUUUGCUUCCUUCUCUCUCCUCUGUGAAUAUGUCCUCUCAGGAGGCUAUCCCAUUGUAAACAGAAAAAAUAGGGUCAAAUUACAGAAUAUUGAAAGCCUUGGAAGUUCCAGUUUUAAAAAUCCUAAAAGUCAUCUAGUAGGGUUAUUUUCAAAAUUGUUCAUUCCCUAUAUUUUUGCUGUAAAACUCUUUCUUCAAAAAAAAAUUUUUUUAAGUCCAAUAUAUAAAUAAGAUAAUCGAGAACUGCUCUGAUCAGAGCCCUUUCCCUUUUCAGAGGGGGAACUUGAAAUCUGCAGAGCCUUAGAAAAAUAUCAAUCUAAUUCAAUUCCUUCAAUUCACAAGUGACAAACUUGAGCCCAAAAUUGAAUCAACUUGUCUAACAUUAUCUAAUGAAAUGAUGACAUGGGUCCAGUGCCCCUCAGGGGCAUGUCUUUACUGUCACUGAGCCUGACACAGGCCCUCAGAGGCCCAACAAUAAAUGUUAAUUGCAUGAACACAACAAUUUAUGCUAUGGUGUUAAUGACUGAUACCAUCUUUAUACAUUACCCUUCUUAAGGGUGUUUACUUUCAUUUAAACAAGAUUCAGUUCCUUAGAUCAAAGAAAGUAAUCUCUUUAGAGCAAAUAUGAGAUGUUAUCAAUAAGCUUGUUGGUACAGGAGAAAAUUGAAGGUAGUUUAACAGAACCUCCAGGGAGGGCUAUGCUGUCAUUUGAAAACCAUGAACAGUUUUAUAAUAUGAUUGUGAGUAUGUUCUGUUGGGAGCAGGGGGAGAAUCAAAAGCAAACCUGUUGAUUUUAUAAAAGUACUUAUAAUAAGAAAACCUAAGGCACACCUGGGUGGCUCGGUCGGUUGAGUGUCCACCUCUUGAUUUCGGCUCAGGUCGUGAUUCCAGGGUCAUGAGAUCUAGCCCCUUCACUCUCAGCACAGAGCCUGUUUAAGAUAUUCUCUCUCUCUCUCUCUCUCUCGCUGCCCCUUUUCCCUGUUCUCUCUCUCUCUCUCUCUCUCAAAUUAAAAAAGAAAAAAAAAGGCCUAAACCAAACUACAUUGACUGAUCUGGUGGGCUGAUAUGAAAAUGAGAAGUAUUCAGAGUUGGUCCUACAAUUCAGGGAAGGAUGUAUUUAUUAGCUAUUUGUGAUGCCUCACCCAUCAAUAUAGAUUUCUUUGUGGUGCAAUAUAUACUUCUUC